rnacentral:rRNA from 1 species
UACGGAGGGUGCGAGCGUUAUCCGGAAUUACUGGGUUUAAAGGGUGCGUAGGCGGCCAUGUAAGUCAGGAGUGAAAGUUUGCGGCUCAACCGUAAAAUUGCUUUUGAUACUGCAUGGCUGGAAUCAGGAUGAGGUCAGCGGAAUGUGGCAUGUAGCGGUGAAAUGCAUAGAUAUGCCAUAGAACACCAAUUGCGAAGGCAGCUGGCUAGACCUGUAUUGACGCUGAGGCACGAAAGCCAGGGGAGCGAACGGG